CGCGCGUGUCUUUGUUUCAUUCUCGCCAUCUCGGAUUAAUCGCAACAGCGGCAUGGUUUCAGUAGACCGAUUACUGUCAAAUAUCGUUGUGGUAGAAGGCCCACUUCGUUUGCCGAUUUACACGGGAUUUUUUUUCCAGUUGCUCGCUAGUACUCUGUUUGCGAAUUGUCGGCAACUUUGUGUGGAACCAUCUGCCAUUUCUUCGAUUUUCCUCCCCUUGUUGCCAAUUGUCCGCCCAGGGAGAUCUUUCCAUGGCAAAGAGAGGGAUCCCUCCUCGUCCUCCUCAAAAUCCCCGCCGGGCCUCGGUUUUUUCCUCAUUGUACCAAAUGAAGCCUCGAGCAAGUGUGUUUGCUGCGGCGGGGAUCUCUAAUCUGUGGGGUUUGCAACUUCACGGGGGCGGAGGAGGAUCACUGCGGUUUCUCCGUCACGGGUCUUCCUAACUAUAGCAUUCGGUGAUAGCUUUGUUCUUGAACAAUUAUUCCACAUGCACAGCUGUACUCGCUGCAGAGCAUUUUCCUUCCUUUUUGGGUGGUUUUUAUGGAGCUUUUCCCUGUUCGUCUCCCAGAAUCUUACACUGUAUUUGUACUUCUUCCUCAGAAAUUUUACGGAGCUUUUCUCAGUGUUCUCGGUUUCAAUUCCGUUCAUUUUGCUCGCCUUUUUGAUGAAAAAAAGUGCUCAGUAAUUUCUGUUCGUGCAAAUUCCGCCCCCGGUUUCGCCGUCGUGGCGUCAGUUCAAUUAAACCCAACCCUUCGUGCUGUUUCGGGCUACGCACGUACUUAGUACUCUUUUGCAGCAGCCGUAGACUCCCGGCCCACGGUUGGCCGCACUUUGUUUUGUGCGCACUCUUGAAUGCAGUAGAACUACCAUUAAUAUGCUGCUAAUCGUACUUGGUUUGUCAGGCCUUUCAUACGGCCCCAUAAACAAAUCGCUCCCAAAUGAUGGCCCAAAUCAUUGGGGAAAACAUUCUACUCUGGUUCUUCAUGUUUUGCUUAGAUUAGUUGUAUAGCGUGGCGAGUAAGGAUCUGCAUCUUUACCACGCAAAAAAGAAAAAGAUCUGACAUCUUUAGGCAGAAAUGCUGAUAGUGGCAGUAACCCCCUUUGCAAUUACCCCGCAAAUUUGUAUUAUUGUCACCCAUUGCCUCUCUGAAUUGGUCUGGUCCAGUCCAAUCGCUGUUCUGGCUCCCAGGUUUAAAGAACCAGGAUCAGAGAGCCCGGUCAGAGGCUCGUGUGAUGGGGAGGGGGGCAUGAUUUGACGUGGUUGUUCAUUUAAUCCGCAGCGGUGGAGGUGUAUGCAGCACGAUUCUUCUGUGCUCAGCUUGCGUAUUGUGUCGCCACUUGCUGAAUCUCGUGGGGAAGGGGAUGUGUGUGGGAGUGGUCUUUCUUGCUUUUCCUUUCCUCCCUGUGCGGCUGUGUUCGGUUACGCUCAGCCUGGCGAGGUUUUGGGUCCAAUCCACGCGGGUCCGCAGGGAUUACCCCCGCCGGGGAAUAAACCCGGCUCAUCCAUUUUUUCUCGUUCGGUUAAGCCCCGCGUUGUAUUUCCCCGGCCCAAACCUCUCCAAACCCACGCGGAAAAAAUCAUCCACUAGCACCCCGUGGAAGGAAUCCCCGAGCGAGGCGCUCGUCUCAUCUCUCCCGAGCGACAGAAGCGGCGGCAAGGAGGCGGCGGGGACGAGUGGACGGCGGCGGCGCAACCUACCCGGAGGAGGAGGAUGCCCUCCUGCUUCGACGACCUGCCACGAAGCCCGCCGGAACCCUAGCCUCUGAUUGUCCCAUCUCCCCGGCCGCCCCCUUGCCGCGGCCGGAACCCGCUAGCUCCGGAGAAGUGGUUGCUGCAGGCGAGGAGAUCUCUGAUAUAGGCUAGCUUCGUCACCUCACAGCUGCAGCAAGACCCUGAAUUGGGCAGCAUCGUGAAGGACAAGGAGUUCUACAUAAGAAUGCUCCAGAAGAAGGACGAAGGUGCCGCGACUUGGAUCUAUUUGUGUGUGCUUUUCAGUGGAAGGCUUCAUAUCUAUUCGCUGGGUUUUGGGAGGAACUGAUAAUUAAGCUCUUGUGGUCUAUUCAACAUAUUAUAUAUUAUGUAUGCUCCAAAUUGCUAUUAUUUUUGUUAGUAUUUGUGCCCUGUUCAAAUCUUAGAAUUGUUGUUAUUGUUAGGAUAAUAAGUGUUUUAAACCUUCAGUGCUAUUGUCACUUCAGUCUGCAUCUGUGUCAUUACUACAUGAGAAUUGUUGUUAUCUAUAUGUA